rnacentral:lncRNA from 1 species
UGGUCUCAGUUCCAGAGCCUCAGGGGCCUCCAGUGAGGAGCACAGGGCCCCUGCCCACCCUGUGGCCAGAACCCUGGACGCACGUGGCAGCCGCUCAGGGCCCCAGGAGAGCGUGUCGGGGCACCCUCAGGGCAGCACCCCGGCUUCCCGCCCCCUCACUCCCUGGCUGCACCAGGCUCAGCCUUCCGGGGAUGGGCGACACUGCCCCUCUCCCGAUCCCCACCGCGGGGUGCAGCCUGGCAGCUCCCUGGCCAGACGCAAGGGGACUGUGAGAGAGAGACGUCCGGGUUACUACGCGUGGGCCUGGCCCAGUCAGCCAAGCAGAUGCAGCCGUGUGGUCUUGGGCUCUGUGAGCUCGGGAGUUCCCGCACAGAACGCGGGCCUCACUGUCUCCUCUGCCCGCAAAUUCCCCGGCAUGGGCUGCGCUGCUGCUGCAGAAUUACCCAGCCCCAGGACCGGUGCACGGUCAGCAGAGGCCCGGGCCCGCCUUGUGGAAGGCGACAUAUCGGCAGUGCCCGACCUAAAUUCCCAGGCACUGUGGCCAGGUGGGUGGCCUCCCGUGAAGGGCUGGCUGCCCACACCUGGGUCAUGAACCCUCACGUCACUCGCGAGGCCUGCACCACGUCGCCGGGGCACAGAGGAGGAAACUGAGCCUCAGGACUUGGCCUGCAGAGAGAGGGGUCGAAGUGUGCCCCCCAAAGCACCCCUCACACCCCAGUCCCCCCACUUCACCCCAAAUGAGAAUUCUGCAGGCCACGGACAUGGCCGAGCAGCUGGAGCCCGGCUGCAUCCGUGCUGUCUACACCGGCCUGGGCUGUGCUGUCUACACCGGCCUGGGCUGUGCUGUCUACACACCGUCACCUGCCUGGGCCGUGCUGUCUACACACCGACACCGGCCUGGGCCGUGCUGUCUACACACCGUCACCUGCCUGGGCCGUGCUGUCUACACACCGUCACCUGCCUGGGCUGUGCUGUCUACACACUGACACCGGCCUGGGCCGUGCUGUCUACACCGGCCUGGGCCGUGCUGUCUACACACCGUCACCUGCCUGGGCCGUGCUGUCUACACACCGUCACCUGCCUGGGCCGUGCUGUCUACACACCGUCACCUGCCUGGGCCGUGCUGUCUACACACCGUCACCUGCCUGGGCCGUGCUGUCUACACACCGUCACCUGCCUGGGCCGUGCUGUCUACACACCGUCACCUGCCUGGGCCGUGCUGUCUAGACACCGUCACCUGCCUGGGCCGUGCUGUCUACACACCGUCACCUGCCUGGGCCGUGCUGUCUACACACCGUCACCUGCCUGGGCCGUGCUGUCUACACACCGUCACCUGCCUGGGCUGUGCUGUCUACACACUGACACCGGCCUGGGCCGUGCUGUCUACACCGGCCUGGGCCGUGCUGUCUACACACCGUCACCUGCCUGGGCCGUGCUGUCUACACACCGACACCGGCCUGGGCCGUGCUGUCUACACACCAUCACCUGCCUGGGCCGUGCUGUCUACACACCGUCACCUGCCUGGGCCGUGCUGUCUACACACCGUCACCUGCCUGGGCCGUGCUGUCUACACACCGUCACCUGCCUGGGCCGUGCUGUCUACAUACUAUUGCUGGCCCAGCCUCAGCCCUGGGAUGAGUACAGACUACUUUCUUUUGGCCAAUCGCAGCUUUCAGCCAGCCCCGUCAUACUCCCCUCCUUGUCCCUUACAGCCCCUGGGACAGACUCCCCUGAGUCUGCUCACUUUCUUUUUCUUUUUUUUUUUUUUUUAGAUAGAGUCUUGCUUUGUUGCCUAGGCUGGAGUACAGUGGUGUGAUCUCGGCUCACUGCAACCUCCGUCUCCUGGGUUCAAGCAAUUCUCCUGCCUCAGCCUCCCAAGCAGCUGGGACUACAGGCACCCACCACCACACCUGGCUAAUGUUUUGUAUUUUUGGUAGAGACAGGGUUUCGCCACGUGGGCCAGGCUGGUCUUGAACUACUGACCUUGUGAUCCACCCGCCUUGGUCUCCCAGAGUGCGUUGAGCCACCGCACCCGGCCGUCUGCUCACUUUUAACUGUGGAAAUGCAGCCCAGCCCAGCUGAAAGCUCGAAUCUUCUGUCCUGCUCAUGCUCCCCUGCCCCGGGGUGAGGCUGCUGUCUCUCCAGACUUGGGGUGGGGACAGAGGUGUGCGUGCUCUCCUGCUCGCUCCCCUCCACCCUCUGGGCUGGUACCCUGAUGAGCCACCAGCUCUGAUGACUCCGACCUCCCUAUCCCCACACAGAGGCUGGGGCUGCGGCUGGGUGACUGGCGGGUCAGUCCUGCUCAGCCCUGCAGGCUGUGUGUCUGGGUCUAAUGAGUUUCUUAGAAUGUGGAGAUUGUGCUGGGUGGUGUUGGGGGUUGCUUGGAACCUCUGUCAUUUUCAUCUGUGGACCUUAGUCAUCAAUUCCGCUGCUCUAGUAAAAUUCCUACUGGAAAUAAAACCCUGCACCACCCCCCUCUCUCUGUGGGAGCCUCCAGGAUGUCUCUGGGGUCUUCCCCGCCAGCCUCCAUAGCUGUAUUCAUCAGGGUUCUCCGGAGAAACAGAAGCAGUAGGAGACGGGUUUAUUUAUUCCAGGGAACUGGCUCAUGUGAUUACAGAAGCUGAGAUGUCCUGAGACCUGCCACCUGGAGACGGAGGAGGGCCUAUGUCACCAUCUGAGUCUGAAGGCCUGAGACCCAGGAGAGCUGAUGAUGCAGCCGAGUUCAAAUCUGAAGGCUGGACAAGAUCCCAUCAGCUUGAAGACCUUCAGGCAGAGAAAGUGGGCUCUCCCUCCCUCAGCCUUUUGUUCUGCUCAGGCCUUCAAGGGAUUGGAGGAUGCCCGCCCACGCAGGGGACAGCCAUGGACUUUCCUCAGUCCUUCAACUCAAAUGCUGAUCUCACCCAGAGACAGCUCACAGAUACCCUAGAGAACAUGCGGCCAAAUAUCUCGCCACCUCUUCCCAGUCAAGGUGACACAUGAAAUUGGCCAUCACAGCGUCCUGGUAUCAUUGUAUCAGAGUUGGCCUGUGUGACAGUGAGUGAUGUCCAAGCCUAGUUCACAAAUGGCUUUGUGGAUCCCACCUUGCUCUCCCUGGGGUCACUCUGGGGGAAGACAGUCGCCAUGUUAGGAGAAUGCUCAAGCAGCCUUGUGGAGAAGCCUAUGAGGCCAGGGACUGAGGCCUCCCGCCAAUAGCCUGUGAGGAGCUGCAGCCUCCACCAAUGGCCUUGUGAGGACUGGAGGCCUCUCCCCAGCAGCCAUGUGAGCAAGCUUCCUUGGAAACGGAUCCCCCAGCCCAGUCGCACGUGCAGGUGUUGCCGUCCUGGCGGCAACCUCGUGCCAGAUCCUGAGCCACAGCCACCCCACUGGGCUUCUUCCAAAUCCUGGAGCCUCUGAAACUGUAAGAUAAUGAAGGCCCAGCGUCCCUCGAGGUGAGGUUGGGACCAUGUGACCAGCCAUGGCCAAUGGGCUCUGAGCAGAAGGACCAUGAGUCGGCUUGCCAACACACUCAGAGGUUGCAUGCCUCCUCCACAGGCCCCUCUCUGCCGUGGGACCCUGGAGGCAUGUCUGUGAGGGCGGCACUAGGAGAUGGGGAACCCGGCCCCCCAGUGACCCUGGAGGAGGGCCCUGACAAUCCGUGUGCUGCUUGCCCUAGAGAGAAAUACGCUGUAGCGCGAUUAAGCUGUGAGAUUUUGGAGGUUUGCUUGUUACUGCGUCACGUCACGGCCCAGCCUCUCCUGACUCGGUGCAGCAGAUAACAAUGGCAGUCAAAGCACCACGUUAUCUGUUCUGAAGAAAGUGGAACUUUCUUCUGAAAAUGCAGGUGGCCUCAGACACUCCGGGAGGCGUUCUCAAUCCAUUGCAACACUUUGUGGGGGAAAUUGCCUGAGUCCCCCAGCUCGUCCAUCUCUGCACCGGAGACUGUACGGGGUGAAGGAGGGUGUCUUAGGAAGCCACUGAGGCAUCGCCAGAGCCCGCACGGGCAGCGUCAGGCACCCCAGGAGGUCAUUUCACAUGUUCUACAAGGACAUGUUUUCAGCUCUCCAGUUUUCUAGUGGAGGAAACCAAACCUCCCAGGUGGUCAACACAGGCGUUUGCCCCACAUGCCACCACCAGGUAGCCACGGGUCUCAUGGGUGACUGGGAAUGGGAGGGGAAGGAAGAAGCUCUUCUUUUGUGGAAUCUGAUCACAGGGAACCCUCUCCCGCCCGGGGCUCAGAAUCUGAUCACAGGGAACCCUUUCCCGCCUGGGGCUCAGAAUCUGAUCACAGGGAACGCUCUCCCGCCCGAGGCUCAGAAUCUGAUCACAGGGAACCCUCUCCCACCUGGAGCUCAAGAUGGUUUCCUGCAGACCUGGAAUUAAACGUCAGGCUCCUGCCUGAGUCGCCGGGACCCCCAGCCUGGCUGACCUCUUCUUGCUCUGCUGAGCUCUCUGCAUGCCCCCAAGGCCCUCUCCGCCUCUGGCUCAGCCCUUAGGAAGCCCUGGCAGAGAAGCCCAGGAUGGGAGAGGCAAAAUGGGGAGGAUGAGGUUUGCAUUACCUGUAAUCCUGGCCAGGCCACAGUACCUAAGUGCUCAAACAUGAGCCCAGGUGUAGCUGGGAAGGUGUCCUGCAGAGGAGCUCAAUAUCCACAAUCAGAUGAUCUGAAGGAGAUUAGCCUCGAUUUUUCUGGGAGGGACUCAUCCCUUCAAAGGAAGCCCUUAAGAGUGAAAACCGAGGUUUCACUGAGAACACCUGCCUCAAGACGGUGACGUGCCCUACUGCGUGUCUCCUGCCUGCCGCCUGCCCUGCAGGUUUUGAACCCCCAUGAUUGCGGGAUCCAAUGCCUUAAAAUAAAUCUCUAAACAUAUAUCCGUCUAGGUAAACCGCCUGUUGUCUAAACAUAUAUCCGUGUAUGUAAACCGCCUGUUGUCUAAACAUAUAUCCGUGUAUGUAAACCGCCUGUUGUCUAAACAUAUAUCCGUGUAUGUAAACCGCCUGUUGUCUAAACAUAUAUCCGUGUAUGUAAACCGCCUGUUGUCUAAACAUAUAUCCGUGUAUGUAAACCGCCUGUUGUCUAAACAUAUAUCCGUGUAUGUAAACCGCCUGUUGUUGUCUAAACAUAUAUCCGUGUAUGUAAACCGCCUGUUCUCUAAACGUAUAUCCGUGUAUGUAAACCGCCUGUUGUCUAAACGUAUAUCCGUGUAUGUAAACCGCCUGUUCUCUAAACGUAUAUCCGUGUAUGUAAACCGCCUGUUCUCUAAACGUAUAUCCGUGUAUGUAAACCGCCUGUUCUCUAAACAUAUAUCCGUGUAUGUAAACUGCCUGUUGUCUAAACGUAUAUCCGUGUAUGUAAACCGUCUGUUCUCUAAACAUAUAUAUGUGUAUGUAAACCGCCUAUUGUCUAAAUAUAUAUACGUGUAUAUGAA